UAUGUGACGUUGAAUGUGUUGCUUUCUGUGGUAAGAACUGCUGGAAUGCACUGAAUGUUCUGUGAGCUGGCAAUAUUCAUGAAUACAUGUAGCUGAUGAAUUCCUCAAGACAUGUACCUUUACCCCAGUUUCUAAUAAGCGAGAUGUUAAUUGCCAACAUAUUCUUUGGUAAUGGUUUAAACAAUCAUAAAUAUUAUGCUUUCAGUAGUAGAAAAAAGUAACUCAAAAUCUUUUUCUUCCCAAAGCAGUUACAAUUUGUUUGUGCGAUAUCUCAAUGAGCAUCACACAAAUUACCCUGGCUAUAGGUGUAGGGUGAUUUGUCAGCUUUGCUAUAUAAAAAUGUACUAGUACUAUGUGCUUUAGUGUCUAUUCUCAGUGCUUUAUCACAACACAACAUUUUGCAAGCAAGCUAAUACAGAACUGUAACUCUUCAUUUCUUCAUUAAACCAAUUACCAAAAUUAAAAGAUUCCAUGUUGCCAUGCAUCUUUUCAGUACUGUUAUAGAUUACAGCUGAAACCAGCAUGUGGUAACAACAAAAAAGUGGCACACAAGGCAUUAGCCGAGUGUGUCACUGAUGUGCUUACCACACAAUUUUUAGCAAGUAUGAAGAAACCAAAAAAUGUUAAUGAUGCCAUCUAUAUGUCUGUCCUCUAGUAGAUCAUACAUGUAAGUAAGAACCAAUCAAAAUUUCAGAAUGAUUUGACAUAAUGGUAUGCAUUGGUUUAUCAGACUGAUGCAGUUCUAAUUUAUAAAACUGUAGCUCUGGUGUGGGGUGUAAGAUUUGCUCUGCAUGCUAGUAAUAUUUUGGAGCAUGAGUUUUGUUGCAUCAACCUCAUUAUACUUGCAGCAUCACUAUUUUAUAUGGUCUGUGCUAUUACUUAGCAUAAUUUUAUGAUAGCAAGUAAUAUAGUCUACUCCUUGCAGAGUUUAAUCACAUUUUAGCAUUGCUGAAGCUCAAGCAACAUUCGCAGAUUUAUUUCGUUCGCUUUAGUUUUCCCUCCUCUCCCUCCCUAGUUACUGUGUACAGACAAUUAAAAUGACAGCUUUUUUGAUUACUAUGUAUAAUUACAUAUGAUUAUGUUCUCUUACUCUUCAAUGUUAUUAGUAUGCAAAUUAUUUCAUGUUAGUAACUAGCCAAAAAAAAUCUGUGUUAUCUUGUAUAUCUAUCAGUUUACUUGUUUCUUAUGCUGGAGUAUUUUUACUCUAUUAUAUUUAAAGUAGUGAAUGUUUCAAUACUAGAGAAUUAUUUAGUAAAUUAAAGUAUGUAGUUAAUUAUUAAUAAAGGCUGUCUUUCAUCCCAAACACUGCCUAGCUUAUUGUGUUGUGUAAUUUAGAUAUAUAAGACACUGUAUAUGGCUUAUGUGACAGGCUUUAAGAGAUUCUAAUGAAACAGUCAUGGCAACCUGACUUCUUGCUACAGUGUGUAUGCACAUCUACAUGAAAAUUGUACAUAUUUUGUGAUAACAACAGGAAAAGUAAUGUAGAAAUGUAAAUAACAGAGUGGAUAUAUCAAGUCAGCAAGGUUGAUUUUUGUCACUGUUAAGGGAUGUGCGCUAUAUACCGGUAGCUAGAGAAAAUGGUAUAAACAUCUAAUAAUCUUCAAAUGUAAAUACAUGCCCAGAUGGCAAAUACUAUGGCACACAAUUUAAAGAGAAAAUUUGUUUACUUCAAAGCCAUUUCACUUAGAUUAGCUUAAGUGUUUCCUUGCAACAGUUUACUUAUGCAUAACAAGUUCCUAAAACAUGAGAAGUUACAUCAGUUUUGUUUUAUAGCAGAACACACUUUACUGAGAAGAUAAAAACAGAGGCUUCUUAAAAUGACUCAGGAAGUUGGUACAGUGGAAGCUGUUGAAGGGUCUCUAGAUGUAUCACUCUACCCAAUUGGCUCAUUUCUGAAGAUAAUGCCCUAUCACGCAUGUGCCACUGCUUAUAUGCAUCCUAUAUACUAUGUUGUGAAGGAAGACCUGGUUGUGGACAAGUGGAUUCCUAAUAGAGGCUGGUGAAUUGUUGCCACAAGUUGGCCGAUACUGAGUGCAAAGUGUAACGCUUGACUUGUUGGCAGCCAAAAUACUGCAAGACAUUUAUGCACUCACAGUGUAUGAUAUAAUUUUAUUGAUAAGACAUAUGUUCAUAAUUUGCAUCUGAUAAGAUUUUCUUGCAUUAGCUUCCACUGAAGCUAGCCCCACCUUAUUUCUUUAGAGGCAGGGGCUAACUGUUUACAUGAAUGGCCAAUGGGUUCGAAUUUAACACGAAAAGUGAAUAAUAACAGUAUGAGUUUCAAAUUCCUUUUCAGUUUGUUCGAAGCAAGCAUUAAUGCAAUAACCUAAUGGGAACGUCAUCCUACCACCGUCAACCUAGCAACUUGGCACUCUGGUAACGUGGGCACAUGAAAUAGUAAAGGUUUUGGUUUUUUUGAACUAGCGCUAUAUAAGAAUAUUAGAUUUAUUUUUAAAUUACAUAAAUUAGUAUCAGUGCAAAAUAUUAAAAUAUUAAAGUAUACGUUUCAAAAACUGAUCGUCUGCUUUUACGUGAUGUUUUACGUUGUUUCAUGACGUGGCACAACCAUGGAGGAUGUCAAAUGAUUUGCAGGGAUGGGAAGCUGGAAACACACCCUGUAAAAAAUAAAGUACCCACUAAAAUUGAUUAUUUGAAAUAUGACACCCAGCCUGUGAAAGGCGUGCCCAAAAUACAUGAAGAUUAAUUAAACAGGAACCUCUCCUUUGGAAUACUUCCAUUCAGAGAACACCUCCAUUCCGGAGACACAAAUUUGGGUCCCGAAAAAGUUCAUCUGAUCUUUGUUUUUGUAUACCUCUAUUGAAGAGAUAUUGGAGCCGGCUACUAAAGUUGUCAGUCUUCUCAUAGUGUCUGAGAUCGCGUGUGUGCCUCAUGCUACUUUGAGCCAGAUCAACCCACUCCUACUCUCAAUUUCCUGAACACAGCGAGUGCAUUUUACUACGAAUUAUUUUAUCUCAGGCCAUUCGCAUUGUUGUAUUGACCGGAUGAAAUUUUCUAAGAAAUAAAAGCUUGGGGUUACUGGUCGUAAUAUGGGAAUUCCAGAAAAGAAUUUGAAUGACGAUUUAUUCAGUUCUUUUUUUCUGUGGAAGUAAUUAGAACGAGGUAAUCAAAUGGUGGAAUGCCAUGGUAGAUUCUUGCGAUGUUGUUGAAUAUAACAUCAGAAGGUAACGGGUUGAUGCUAUCACUCGGUCUUCACGGAAAAUCUCAGAUCUCUCCGUCCAAAACUGCCUUUAUUUUGUUAAAACUUGAAAUGGAAAUCAAAGCUGCUUUUUUUCUGCUUUGGUUUCGACUUGAGAAGAUGAAAUAUAAAAUUUCAUUAACGUUUUUACUGCGCCUUUCAAUAACAUGCUGACCUCAACCGUUAAAUAACGUCAAUCAAAUGUUCAGCGGCUCCUCCCAGUUUCUGACUAUGCUGUCUGAACAGUGCUCAACGAUUUGAUUUGAUUACCGCGCGCUCGGCAGUAGUCGGAAGCUUGAAAGAACCGCCGAACAUUUGAUUGACGGUAGCGAAAAACGCAUUUCUCGGUUGAGAUUUGAAUGUUAUUGAACAGCGCAGUAAGAAUCCAAGGGCCAAAAACUCUUUCUCCCUUUGCAACUGUUGCAGUUUUGAUGAAAAAAGCAGUAAGUUUGGAUUAUCCCCUGCUUUCUUAUAUUAAGAGUAUUGUACAGGCCGGCAAAUGAUCCCGGGACCGAAACUGAUUUCACCGCAAAAAGUAUGGAAUGGCGUGGACUCCAUGAAAAGUCUUUUGAUGGAUACAUAUUUUUUUUAAUUAUCCAAGGUGA